AUCACUUCUUGGCCUUUUGGCUAAGAUCAAGUGUAGUAUCAAGACUCACCAAUAUUUAGUUAAAAGAUACAAGAAGCUGUUUAAUUCAU
ensembl:snRNA U2 U2 spliceosomal RNA